GUGAGAUCACGUUGAUCAAAUGACUGGUGUAUGAAACAGAUCUGAUCUUCUCUCUCAAAGAGCUCUCUGGAAGAGGUGGGGUUUAAAGCACUGAUAUCUGAUGUGAUCUUCUUAAACAAGUCUGUUAGAGAGAGCAUAAGAAACACACACAAUGAUAUUCCAUUCUGUCAUUCUGCUUUCUGCCUUUGCAUAUGCAGCGUAUGGAAAUGAAAUUAAACCAACCAAAUCAGAGGAGUUUGCUGACGGGGGUUUAAGUGUUAAAUUAUCCUGCAGUUAUUCAUCUGCAGACUAUCUUCACUGGUAUCGUCAGUAUCCCGGAUCAGCUCCUGAGUUCAUUGUGCUCAUCUUAGAGAGUGCAAAACAAGCUGAGGAGUCUAAUGUAGAUUCCAGAUUCACUGCCAAAGUCACCAAAGACAAAGAAAACCAUGUGGAUCUGGAGAUCUCCUCUGCAUCUACAUCAGAUUCUGCUCUGUACUACUGCGCUCUGCAGCCCACAGUGACAGGAAACACAAGAACACUGUACAAAUUACAAAAACCUGAUACACAGCAUUGCAUCUAUCACACAUAUCCAACCCUCAUAUCUGCUAUAGUUAACACAAAGGAACAUCCCUCUAUUCAGCAAAAUCAAUAUUAUAGUUUGUCAUUCACAACAUAAAAAGAUCUAACAGAAAUGGUGACACAAAGAUUUGGUUAAGAGAUGCUUCUCCAGAUAUUCAUAAUGUUUUAAGCAGCAUGUUCAAAAAGCCGCAGAAUAAUUACUUAUUCAAAAAAGUACCUACUCAAGAGAGUAUGCAAUUUCAGACGCAGCC